AUGCUCACACCUCCAUCUCCUCCGGCCAGAUCAGCAUGCUCACACCUCCACCUCCUCAGGCCAGAUCAGCAUGCUCACACCUCCAUCUCCUCCGGCCAGAUCAGCAUGCUCACACCUCCAUCUCCUCAGGCCAGGUCAGCAUGCUCACACCUCCAUCUCCUCUGGCCAGAUCAGCAUGCUCACACCUCCAUCUCCUCCGGCCAGAUCAGCAUGCUCACACCUCCAUCUCCUCUGGCCAGAUCAGCAUGCUCACACCUCCAUCUCCUCCGGCCAGAUCAGCAUGCUCACACCUCCAUCUCCUCAGGCCAGAUCAGCAUGCUCACACCUCCAUCUCCUCCGGCCAGAUCAGCAUGCUCACACCUCCAUCUCCUCUGGCCAGAUCAGCAUGCUCACACCUCCAUCUCCUCUGGCCAGAUCAGCAUGCUCACACCUCCAUCUCCUCCGGCCAGAUCAGCAUGCUCACACCUCCAUCUCCUCCGGCAAGAUCAGCAUGCUCACACCUCCAUCUCCUCCGGCCAGAUCAGCAUGCUCACACCUCCAUCUCCUCUGGCCAGAUCAGCAUGCUCACACCUCCAUCUCCUCCGGCCAGAUCAGCAUGCUCACACCUCCAUCUCCUCUGGCCAGAUCAGCAUGCUCACACCUCCAUCUCCUCUGGCCAGAUCAGCAUGCUCACACCUCCAUCUCCUCCGGCCAGAUCAGCAUGCUCACACCUCCAUCUCCUCCGGCCAGAUCAGCAUGCUCACACCUCCAUCUCCUCUGGCCAGAUCAGCAUGCUCACACCUCCAUCUCCUCUGGCCAGAUCAGCAUGCUCACACCUCCAUCUCCUCCGGCCAGAUCAGCAUGCUCACACCUCCAUCUCCUCAGGCCAGAUCAGCAUGCUCACACCUCCAUCUCCUCCGGCCAGAUCAGCAUGCUCACACCUCCAUCUCCUCUGGCCAGAUCAGCAUGCUCACACCUCCAUCUCCUCUGGCCAGAUCAGCAUGCUCACACCUCCAUCUCCUCCGGCCAGAUCAGCAUGCUCACACCUCCAUCUCCUCCGGCCAGAUCAGCAUGCUCACACCUCCAUCUCCUCUGGCCAGAUCAGCAUGCUCACACCUCCAUCUCCUCUGGCCAGAUCAGCAUGCUCACACCUCCAUCUCCUCCGGCCAGAUCAGCAUGCUCACACCUCCAUCUCCUCUGGCCAGAUCAGCAUGCUCACACCUCCAUCUCCUCUGGCCAGAUCAGCAUGCUCACACCUCCAUCUCCUCCGGCCAGAUCAGCAUGCUCACACCUCCAUCUCCUCCGGCCAGAUCAGCAUGCUCACACCUCCAUCUCCUCUGGCCAGAUCAGCAUGCUCACACCUCCAUCUCCUCCGGCCAGAUCAGCAUGCUCACACCUCCAUCUCCUCCGGCCAGAUCAGCAUGCUCACACCUCCAUCUCCUCAGGCCAGAUCAGCAUGCUCACACCUCCAUCUCCUCCGGCCAGAUCAGCAUGCUCACACCUCCAUCUCCUCUGGCCAGAUCAGCAUGCUCACACCUCCAUCUCCUCUGGCCAGAUCAGCAUGCUCACACCUCCAUCUCCUCUGGCCAGAUCAGCAUGCUCACACCUCCAUCUCCUCUGGCCAGAUCAGCAUGCUCACACCUCCAUCUCCUCUGGCCAGAUCAGCAUGCUCACACCUCCGUCCCUAGUGCCUUUAUUAUUGUUCGCCACAUGGCCUUACAUUGUACCAAUUAG
rnacentral:lncRNA from 1 species